rnacentral:piRNA from 1 species
UAAACCUCAGGUACAAAGUGUCCACUUGCCA